GGUGAAUGUUUUGUGUGUGUGUGUGUGUGUGUGUGUGUAUGCCACAUUUUCUUUUUCCUUUCAUCUGUUGAUGGUGACUUAGAUUGUUUCUGUAUCUUGGUGAUUGGUAGUAAUGCCGCAGUGAAUAUUGGAGUGCAGAUGUCUUUGUGAGGUGUGAUUUGAUCUCUGUUGAGUAUGUGUCCAGAAAAGGGAUAGCUGGGUCUAUUUAAUGUAUACUGAUAAGCAGCACACAGCGGGCACAUCGGUUAGCAUAGAUGCCAUUUCUCUCACAGUCUGCCGACCCCUCCUAGAGUGACGUUUUUCUUGUUCCUGAGACAAUAAUGUGGCUGUAAGUACUAAUAGAGACAGUGGCAUUUGUGGGAUGCUUAUGAUCUGCCAGCCCCUGUGUUAAGUGUUCUCUGUGUCUGUUUCAGCUGGGUCCGCUGUGUGCCGAGGCUCCAUGGGAUGUGUCGUCUUCAUAGCAGCAGGGCGCUGGACCAUGGGUCCCUAAGGUCUCAGCCUUAGAUUCAAGGACAGUCCAAGGAAGUCCUAAGACCAUGGAGUUGGUGACCUGGGAUCUGGGUUUGCUGAUAUUUCUUACCAUGGAUCUCUUGGUGGUGUUUAUGGACACCAGAGGGGCAGAGAAUAGAGAGUGAGGCCACCACAUGAAGCGUCACCAGAGCUGCUCCCUGCUGCCUGCUCAGAGCACCCCGGAUCCACUGUUCAAUCUGCACAAGAUUCGGGGUCCAGACAUGGGAGACUUCAGCUGCCUCGGAGGACCGUGGACAGGGAAGGCCAGCCCUGCAUCCCUCUGGCCAUGCCUGGAAUGACUUUAAUAACUAAGAGUUUUAUUCUUGAAUUUGUAGCUGUCGUUCACUUUUUACCCACCCAUUCAAUAAACCUUACAGAAUUGCUCCAUCUGCCUCUUAAAUCAGUGACAACCCGUGAGCCUGCAAGACUGGCUUUGGAGAAGGUAGGCCAUAGGCCAGAUCUGAUUUUCACUCUUUGAGCCUUUCCUAUUCUUAAUGCAUAUAUUCUGGAGACUUGACUCAGAGGUUAUUGUUCGAGGUAUACAUUUGGAACUAGGAGGUGAACAAGUGCUGGUAGUUGGUUCACAUUUAGGCAUUUAGGACCCAUGAGAAUUGAGGGCAUUGCAGAAUAGUCAGGGUAGAUUAUGGAGUGAGACAGGUCCGAUGUCAUUCAGGAAGGCUGGAGUGUCCUGGAUGACCUGGCUCAUAAGUAAAUGCCUACUUAUGAGAUCAACUAUCCCAGUUUGCCUGAGAUUGAGGGGUUUCCCAGAAAGUGGGUUUUUCAUUGCUAAACCCAGGGAGAUCCUGAGCAAACUGGGGCAAGUUGGUCAGCAUGUGUGGGAUGUAAAAUCCAUGGUGUCAACUUGAGAGCCAGGUUAUGGGGUAACAGUGGGAGUAGGGUGAACAUGGAGCAGCUGCCGUUGAUGGAACUGAGGGGUUCCCUUACAGUCAGGCUUUGGAGAUAAGGGUACAGUCAGUUAUUGCAAGGGCUAGGCAUGGUGCCUUGUGCCUGUAUUACUAGCACUUUGGCAGGCCAAGGUGGGAUGAUUUCUUGAGGCCAGGAGAUCAAAACCAGCCUAGGCAACAGAUCCCGUCUCCACAAAAAUUAGCCAGCCACGGUAGUGCACUCCUGUAGUCCCAGCUACUCAGGAGGCUGAGGCAGGAGGAGUGCUUGAGCCCAGGAGUUUGAGGAUUCAAUGAGUUAAUGAUGGCACCACUGCAGCCCAGCCUGGGUGGCAGAGUGAGACCUGUUUUUAAGAGAAAGAAAAAUUGCAGCCAUGACAUUAUCUAAGGAUGUGCGUGUGUGAACUCUCAUCUCUUGAUUUACAGAGGGAGGAAUCUACACGUGUCCCAAGGGCCAUGGUGAAAAGGUGCAGUUCAUCUCCCCAUUUGAAGUGAAAACCACCUUGGCUGGAGCUGGGGCAAAAAUCAGGCUGGGAUUAAGGAAGAAGAAGGGGAACAGAGAAGCAGAUGACAAGAGGCUCACAUGGGUGUCCCAAUUUCCCUUCUCUGGACUUUGACUUGGUGAGGGUGCAAGUAUAUUAGAGAGAACACUGAGAACAAGAGAGGAGACCUUGACUUUGCUUCCCAUUUAGCAAGAGGCCACCUCUUGAAUUGCCCCCGCCCUAAACUGUGGUAUAGCCAUGGCAACGGGACAGCUUGGUGUGGGUAGGCAGAGGGAGGUAUCUUCGCCAGCUUGGGCUGCCAUAACAAAAUUCCAUAGAUUGGGUGAUUUAAACAACAGAAGUUAAUUUUCUCAACGUUCUGGGGGCCAGGAAGUCCAAAAUCAAGGUGCUGGCUGAUUCAGUUUCUGAUGAGAGCUCUCUUCCUGGCUUGCAGAU